GCAACAUCGGACCGUCGGUCUACCGAGCAAUAUCACCCACUCUGCGGAAGAUCUUCCCUCCGUCGU
rnacentral:pre_miRNA from 1 species